UGCCACGGGGGAGGACAGUUUCUCUGAGGAU
rnacentral:piRNA from 1 species